ensembl:lncRNA
CUGUGGGACCCUCCAUCUACUCUGUGCCAUGUCUGCUCUGAGCUUUGACUGCCAUGAGCAGGUUUUCAGAGGAGGAACCACAGGUUUGUCCACAUUCUGCUGCAAGGAGAGCGGGGAUGGAGGUGUGGUGCUGUGCUAGUUGCACCCUGGGUAUGAGCCAUGGGGAACGUGCUUGGUCAGUGCAUUCGUGGAGUCGGUUUGGUGGGGCUGCGAGCACCAAGCAUCACAAGCCACACCUGACAUGAACUAUGCAGAAGCAGAGAAGGGGAAGACAAGAGCUCUCCUGCUGAAUGGGAUGUGAAUGAAGAAAAUGUGGUCCUGGAUUUGGGCUCAGCUGCCAUUCCCGAGUCGGGCACGGCCCGGGUGAAGCCGCGGCCCACCGUGAAGCACCACAUGGCAUCUGCUUCUUCCCCUGAUGACCUGUAUGGCUUGGCUGUCCCAACUCCGACAGUACCCCUCCUGCCUCCGGCCAACGGUGCCACACCAGCAGGGAAAGCAAACAUGAACAUGUUACGCAGUGGAAAUUCUGGUCUUCAGGCAUUUGAUGGACAGGACAUCAUUCCUCCACCUCCACCUAUGGAGCCUCCACCCCCACCCCCUCAGAAAACCCCUCCUGCUCCAGUUAGCUUCCCAUACCAACCCUCAGUUCCUCCCACCUGGCAACCAUCAUCCCCAAAGCCUCAGUCCAUCUCAGUGAUUCCACCUCAGAAGUUUCUUACAGAUCCAUCCAGCACCAGUGCUUCUCCAUCUGGUUCAUUCAUGCAGUCUCAUGGUCCAGCUUCUGCUAAACAUGGCAUUGUGACCCCCUUCUCACUUCCUGAUUUAUCCAUGGGGCAGUCACAACCCACGAGUCCCAGGAUCCAGAAGGUUCCCCCUCCAAAGCCACACAGGCUUUCCUCCAUCUCCAGCCAAGAUGGGAUUACACAGAUUCCAAGCCCAGUUCCACCUUCCCAAGAUGCUGCACCAUCCAGUUUCAACCCGCAGAACAAGGCUAAGCUGUACAACAUAGCCAAAACCAGUCUUCUGAGUAGCCAAAAAGAUGUUGAACCAAAGCAAAAGCCCAUACUCUUACUGGAGGAGUCUCCUUCAGAUCCAUUUGUGGUUCAAGCCAACAAUAAGGCUCCUACUCCUAUCAAGGGUCAAGAGUUGGCUGCCAGGCAGAUUGCUCCUAAUAAGCCAGCCAAGAGCAAUGCUGCAGAAGCCCAACUGCAGAAAGACCUGGCUGAUGUCACGGACAACCAGAUGGCCCCUCCUCCGAGUGGCACAAGAGAGGCUCAGCAGUUUCCUCUCCAGGAUUUGGCAUCAUCUGUGACUUCAAGUAAUUCCAGUGGAGCCACUCAACCCAUCCCAGAACAUCCUUCCAAGCUGGUGGAGGCUAGCCCAAACUCGAGCUACAUCAUGACCCAGUCUAGCAAAAGACACAGACUGGAGGGUGGCCAAAAGCCAUACUACCACAACAGAGGAAGCAGGGCCACAGGUUUAAAGGAGAAGACCACCUCACCCAUGAGCCUUCUGCUUGCUGCCAAAGAGAGAGAGAAGCGCAAGACCUUUGCCACCUCAAACAAGCAGGCUGAAACCAGUGCCAUCGGUGAGGCCUCCUUUGUGGGAAUCAGCCUAAGUGAUACCAGUCAUCUUCGGUCAUCUUCCCCAUCAGCAUCUACUGUUUAUCAUGUGGAGGACUUUCCAGGACAGGGAGAGAGCCAGGACACAGGCCACUCUACACCGUCACCAAUCCCUCCAUGGGAGGAGGAUGCUGUGGAUUUCAUCCCUCCCCCACCGGAAUUCGCAAACUCUGGGGAAGAUAUAAGGGACGAGUCCCCCCAUUGUGGACCACCCCCUAGCUUAGUGCCUUGCCCUCCCCCUUUGUGCCCAGCUGAAAUUUCCCUCUCAAGCCUCACACUGUCUGCAGAACCCAAGCAAUCCACAAAGGUGUCAUCUCCUAAUGGUCAGCUUGAGGCACCUUCUGCUGCAACCUCCCUUUCUGACAGCCAGAAGACCCUCCAGAGCAUCUUACAGAAGAAGAAGCUGGAGAUGGAUGAGAGACGUACUACUGGUGCAGAAAAAUGGUCACAGUCUCAGUCAGACAAAGACUGCGAUACCUCUGUUGGGCAACGCCCUACAACCGUGAAGGAAAACGAAUCGAACCCAAGAACCCUGCCUUCACAAGCACACAGCCUUGUCCUCAGUGAGCUGGAGAGCAAAAUAUCCAAGAAGGUGCUCAAAACAGCCAACAGUGAACCUCCGUCAAAGCAGUCCUACGGCAUGACCUUCAGAGUGCAACCGGGAUCAGAACAACCAGUCACCAUGAUCAGGAAAGGAGACUCUUCAUGAAGAUACAAGAAAUCAUGAGACCACAAGACAUGCCACUGUGUACCCCUACGUGUUCACUACCAUGGCAACAGGUGUUGUUGAUGGGGGUCUUCAAUGCUACAAAAGACAGCUGAAUUUACCAGCCUUCUAAGAACAAGAAGACAUGAGUUGCCAACCACUGGAGAAGAAGCUAACAAAGCGGGGGUAGCUGGUAGUGCAAUCGUUAUGGCUGCCACCUUUGGUUCUGAAGGUUGCAAGUUCCAAUCCCCCCUCUAGCUGUAGUACCCUUGAGCAAGAUACUAACCCUAAACUGCUCCAGCCAGGAGUCCAGACAAAACCCCCAGGACAAAAACCUCCUAGGGGGAUUUUGUCUGAGGGGUUUUGUCCUACACUCGCUCCACCAAAAUUACCCAGCUGUCUAAAUGGGUAAAUUGCUGUAAGUUGCUAGAAAAGCAUCCUGUAAAUGCAAAUUACAUGAGACUGUAAUCCUCUAAAGAAAUUUUGUGGGAAAAAAAAUAUAGAGCAUGUGUUUACUUCAGAAAAGCACCGUUUUUAGUCUUUGUGUAUAUGAAAUGCUUUGUAAAAGUAUUUUUACUCAAUACACUAAAUAAUGGCAAAGUUGCGAGAUCUCUUCUCUGUCUCUGGUAUUUGUAUCUGGUAUAAAUAUGGU